CUCUCGGGGAACUUUAGCUCCUGUGGCAAUAUCUGUCUUGGCGUGUCUGUGGUGUAUGUACAGUAUGUGUGUGUGUGUGUGUGUGUGUGUGUGUGUGUGUGUGUGUGUGUGUGUGUGUGUGUGUGUGCGGUUGCCAAAAACCUCCCGUUGCAUGCCGACACGAUUCAAAAUCAUGAAUCAUGAAUGUUUGUUAAUCUGCAUAUUUACCCAUAUAAUUACCAAGAGUCUGUGUGUGGAAUAUUUUGUCCAUGAUAAAAAUCAUGUUCAUGCAAAGUUUAAGUUUUCAGUGCAGGGAUAUGUUUGGAGUUGGAUGGACACCAAGUUAGGCAAGAGUUAUACUCCAUAACUUAUCGAAAAGUGUGUGUUGGAAUGCCAGCUAAUGUUCAGGCAUGUCGGUGGCGACCAUCUUUGUUUUGGGCGGGCUGCCAACGGCGAGAAAGGGAUUUGCCAUCUGACUGGUGCAAUGCAGCCUUCAUGGCGUGUAACUCCAAACUGAUUGAAACCUUUGAACAAGGGCAUGCCACGUCUCAUCUCAUCAAGUGGGCCUGUCUGGCACGCGGUAUGUCUUAAGCCUAGAAAUGCAGAAACUACUGCUACAGAUGCUGAACUUCAGUAAGUCGAACUUCAUAUUCUGUAAGAGUUUGAACAAAUGUCAAAGAAGGUCGAUCGUCCAAAACUAUUUCAACAACCUUGUUGAAGGUCAGUAUGCUUAACAGAUAAUCUUUACACUGAAACCUUGCAUUUGUGUGGACAGGACCUUGGAGGGUCCGCCAACGUGAAAGCUCAUCCUUUUUAUUCACAUGCGGCGGCACCAGGUCAUUCUUGUACCUCCAGUAAUCAAUUUUUCUCAACACUUGAUGAAAUGAAAGCAGAGGAAAAAGCUUUUCUUCUUGACUCCCAAAAGUUUUCCAACUCGUAGUACAGUCCUGUUUAGUUUGAUCCACAUUUUAUUUCCAUUAUCAUUGUCACGAGUGCCCAAAUUAGCAACUUGUUCAGUUCAGUGCAACACUCGUCUGGCAUUUUCGGCUUCAAUGGAAACUCACGGAUCAAUUGCGGUCAUCUUGUGGCCACAUCAAAUUUUUGUCUCUGCAUCCAAUAUGUGUGAAAAUUAGUUUGCUGGCAAGGAAAGAAACAUCCUCUCAAGUGGAAGCUCAACGUUUUUCUGUCAUACUGAUUUAGGACUAUGAUCGCCGACUGCUCCCUCCCCAUUGGAUAGAAUCGAUUUGCGGCCUUGUGUAAUGCCAGCUUCUCCUCACUCUAUGCGCUGUACAUAAAGUACGAGUGACAUUUAACGCACACGGUCUCCCCUGAAUAGGCAUUGGGCGAAUGUCUUGCUCGGGGUGAGUCAGCAUUGCGCUUCCAUGGCUAAUGGGUAGGAAAUGUCCACCUAGGAGAUUCUAAUUGCAUCUCUUCCCCAUCCGGCUCCAUUAGGCCCUAAAUGGCAACAACACACAGCAGA